rfam:Ictidomys tridecemlineatus contig013719, whole genome shotgun sequence.
GGUGGUGUAGCUCAGUGGUAGAGCACUUGCCUAGCAAUGCAGGAGACCCUUGGUUUGAUCCCCAGCACUUCUG